AGAGUUUGAUCCUGGCUCAGGAUGAACGCUAGCGGCAGGCCUAAUACAUGCAAGUCGAACGGUGAUAGCAAUAUCAUAGUGGCGCACGGGUGCGUAACACGUAUGCAACCUACCUAUUAUUGGGGGAUAGCCUUUGGAAACGGAGAUUAAUACCGCAUAAUACGAUUAACUGGCAUCGGUUGAUUGUUAAAGCAUUUGCGAUAAUAGAUGGGCAUGCGUCCAAUUAGUUAGUUGGUGUGGUAAUGGCUCACCAAGACGAUGAUUGGUAGGGGAUCUGAGAGGAUAAUCCCCCACACUGGCACUGAGAUACGGGCCAGACUCCUACGGGAGGCAGCAGUAGGGAAUAUUGGGCAAUGGGCGGAAGCCUGACCAGCCAUGCCGCGUGCAGGAAGACGGCGUUAUGCGUUGUAAACUGCUUUUUUAUAGGAAGAAGGAUCCCUUGCGAGGGAAGGUGACGGUACUAUAAGAAUAAGCACCGGCUAACUCCGUGCCAGCAGCCGCGGUAAUACGGAGGGUGCAAGCGUUGUCCGGAUUUAUUGGGUUUAAAGGGUGCGUAGGCGGUUUAUUAAGUCAGUGGUGAAAGACGGUCGCUCAACGAUUGCAGUGCCAUUGAUACUGGUAGACUUGAGUGAGAUUGAGGUAGCUGGAAUGGAUAGUGUAGCGGUGAAAUGCAU
rnacentral:rRNA from 1 species